rnacentral:pre_miRNA from 1 species
GGGGGGAGGUCGGAUCCUGUGCUGUGUCCCGGGCACCCUGUGCUCCGGGGCCUGUGCUGUUGGAUUCGUGCUCCCGGCCUCGCAGCAGCCU